UCCCUGGAGGACUAGUGGUUAGGCCACGGUGCUCUCAGUGCUGUGGCCCGGGUUCGAUUCCCAUCCAGGGAA
rnacentral:tRNA from 1 species